AAUUCAUUUUAAACUGCUACAACCAUCGAUCAAGUUGUUUAUUUCGCAAAGGAUAGAGAAAUGACGCAAAGAAAAAUGAAAAAGAUAAAAAAAAAAAAAUGUAGUUGAAAAAGGAAAAUAAUGUAAAGAGGUAGUUAGUUGUGCGAUUAUUGGAAUACGAUGGUCUUGGACUAAAUACGUCUGUUGAAAAGAUGGUGCACACAGAUGUGGAUGUGAUGGGUAACGUGCCAAAAAUGUGCCAACACGAAAAAGAGAUAUGGCUAUGAUGAAAAAAUUAUAUAUAUCUUGUCUGAGAUGAAAAUUAGAUGAGGGGAGGAGGUGAGCUGAUUGGAUCAUGAACUGCUGUCACUCUUGGCUCAUGACAACGGGCACACACGAGAUACACACAAGUCGUGAGCCAGGACACAUUUAACCAGUAUGUUGCAAGAUUUUGCUGACUAAGAGGUUCAAAACUUGUUGUGGGUCUAUGGCAAAGAACUUUUUUUAUUUUAUUUUUUUUAUGGAGACAACAUAUUGCAACACAACACCCACGUUUCGAUUAGAAAAGAGUUGAGUAUCAAAUCUCA